CCACGUAUCUCAAUAAUUAUCCAAACCCUAGCUGCUUCCGCCCCAAAAAUUAUAAACACACAUCUGUCUCUGUUUAUCCAAUCUUCUUCUUCACUCAUCUCUCUCAGAAACCCGAAAAUGUCGCACUUCGGAAGAGCAGGACCUCCAGAUAUCAAGGACACCUACUCUCUCCUCGUGCUCAACAUCACUUUCCGUACUAGUGCUGAUGAUUUGUUUCCUUUGUUUGACAAGUAUGGAAAGGUUGUUGAUGUUUUCAUUCCUCGUGACCGGAGGACUGGUGAUUCACGGGGAUUUGCGUUUGUUCGUUAUAAGUACGCUGAUGAGGCUCAGAAGGCUGUCGAAAGGCUUGAUGGAAAAGUUGUUGAUGGGAGGGAAAUAAUGGUCCAGUUUGCUAAGUAUGGACCUAAUGCUGAAAGAAUCUCCAAAGGCAGGAUUCUUGAACCAGUGGAGAAGCUGGGCAGGUCAAGGAGCCGCAGUCCUCGGCCAAGAUACAGAGAUGAACAUAGAGACAAGGGCAGGAGGAGAAGUCGUAGUCGAAGUAGGGACAGAUCCUCCCGUGAAUACCGUGGAAGGGACAGGGAUUAUCAUCACAGAAGCAGAAAUCGUAGCAUAAGCCCAGAUUAUCGUAAAGACCGUGAAAGAAGCAGAUAUGAUGAUGCAAGGCGUAGUAGGAGCAGGUCUCCAGGAAGCGCUUCUCCCAGGCGCAGCCUCAGUCCUCGAAGGAGCCUAUCCCCUAAAAAAACACCUACCAGGGAUAGAAGCUCUGAUGGCCGUGACCACAAAGAACGUUCUCCUGUUGCGCGAAGUGUUUCUCCUCGACCUCGAGCUGCUGAUUCUCGAACCCCAUCCCCUCGCAAUUCUGAUGCUGAGGAAUAAAUGAGGGUUGAUCUGUUUGUUUAACUCUGUAUGCACGAAUUGCUCUGGCAAGCUUUUCAGAAUUUGCAUGUUAUGCUAUGUAAGAGGAUUUGUAGAAACCAAUGGCGGAGUUGACUUAUAAGAUUAAAUGUGGCUGACUGGUGAGAUGAUGUAGCAGCUGUUGCUGAUGCAAUCUCUUUGCUGUUUGUGGCAUCAUUUUUAUGCCGGUUGCCAUACGACAAUGUUACAAUUUUCUUGCUGGUUGCCAAACUACAAGUUUUACAAUUUAUGACUGAUGCUGUCUGAUUUGUUAUCUGAUGCAUCAGUUAACAUAUGAAUGCUGACCUAUAUGAACCUGUAAUGCUGAGCGGCAAUGAUAAUAUGCUGUUAGUCAUAGCAAGGGAUGCGUAGCUGUUGUUCGGGUCCAGUGUUGGGUAGACUUUAUUGCACUGCUGUUAAGUUCAGCUGUAGCAAUUUAAAGGAUCGGUUAUAUAUGAUGGCUUGCACAAACAAUUGCUGCUUGAUGUAGCUGCGAGAGUGAUAGUCGUCAAUAUCAUCAAGAUUUCAUGUUGCUGCAUCUUAAGCCAUCUCUUGUUUAGGUAUUUGUUAAAGAGUCAUUGUUUAGUAGCUGUUGCAGGAGAGGACUCUUCCUCUGCUAUCUAGUAUCUCACAUAGAAUCCUCUUGCAGAUUAAAGUACAAUUAUAUAUUAAACUGUGAAGUAGUACGAGCAUGAAAGUUUAGUUGUUGCACAUGGAUUCCAAGAUAACUUAAAUUUUUCCUAGAGGCGGGCACUUUAUAUUUGGUCUGGUGUUAUAACAGUUCAACAUUUUCUUGAGCCCUAAAUUUAGUAAGGAAACCUUAAAUUGAACCACACUCAUGGGAUGACCUAAGACCAAAUAUGUAAUAUUCUUUCAAAAUUGAACUCUUGGCAUGUUUAAGAAUAUUUUUAGUUUAUAUAAUCGGCGGGGUAUGUACUUUAUCUUCUA